CCCGCCUGCAUGAAGUCGGAAUUGCUAGUAAUCGCGGAUCAGCAUGCCGCGGUGAAUACGUUCCCGGGCCUUGUACACACCGCCCGUCACACCAUGGGAGCCGGUAAUACCCGAAGUCAGUAGUCCAACCUCGUGAGGACGCUGCCGAAGGUAGGAUUGGCGACUGGGGUGAAGUCGUAACAAGGUAUC
rnacentral:rRNA from 1 species